rnacentral:rRNA from 1 species
UACGAAGGGGGCUAGCGUUGCUCGGAAUCACUGGGCGUAAAGCGCACGUAGGCGGAUCGUUAAGUCAGGGGUGAAAUCCUGGAGCUCAACUCCAGAACUGCCUUUGAUACUGGCGACCUUGAGUUCGGGAGAGGUGAGUGGAACUGCGAGUGUAGAGGUGAAAUUCGUAGAUAUUAGGAAGAACACCAGUGGCGAAGGCGGCUCACUGGCCCGGUACUGACGCUGAGGCGCGAAAGCGUGGGGAGCAAACAGG